UCUCUCUCCCUUAUUGUAGCCUUGAAUAAAGGCUUUGCCUUUCAAACUCUGUCCUGCCCAUUUUUCUUUGACAUGUUCAGAUGUUGGCAAGGCUGAAAACUGCAGGGGAUCUGGUUGUGAUAAUCCAGAUGCCCUGGAAGGACAGCUUGCUGCUCCUACUCAGAAACACACCUGCAGACAGAGGAGGACAGACGGACACUCAUUUGCUGAGCACCCAUGUAACAUGAACUAAGAGCUGGGUGGAGACAAUGAACGGUGGAGCCAUCGUUCCCGAUGUGGAGGGAGAACAGCUCAAGACCACGGAACAGCCUGCUCUCCCGCUUCCUGGCUUCCGUGCGCUUUUGUCCAAUCAGGCUUUUUGACCAAUCGGCCAGGCGCGCUAUGUAAAUUUCUGACAUUUUCAAAGCUGUCUUUUUAAUAAACCUUUCAGUGUAAAAAUA
rnacentral:lncRNA from 1 species